CAGGCUUAGCACAUGCAAGUCGAGGGGCAGCAUGGUCUUAGCUUGCUAAGGCCGAUGGCGACCGGCGCACGGGUGAGUAACACGUAUCCAACCUGCCGUCUACUCUUGGACAGCCUUCUGAAAGGAAGAUUAAUACAAGAUGGCAUCAUGAGUCCGCAUGUUCACAUGAUUAAAGGUAUUCCGGUAGACGAUGGGGAUGCGUUCCAUUAGAUAGUAGGCGGGGUAACGGCCCACCUAGUCUUCGAUGGAUAGGGGUUCUGAGAGGAAGGUCCCCCACAUUGGAACUGAGACACGGUCCAAACUCCUACGGGAGGCAGCAGUGAGGAAUAUUGGUCAAUGGGCGAGAGCCUGAACCAGCCAAGUAGCGUGAAGGAUGACUGCCCUAUGGGUUGUAAACUUCUUUUAUAAAGGAAUAAAGUCGGGUAUGCAUACCCGUUUGCAUGUACUUUAUGAAUAAGGAUCGGCUAACUCCGUGCCAGCAGCCGCGGUAAUACGGAGGAUCCGAGCGUUAUCCGGAUUUAUUGGGUUUAAAGGGAGCGUAGAUGGAUGUUUAAGUCAGUUGUGAAAGUUUGCGGCUCAACCGUAAAAUUGCAGUUGAUACUGGAUAUCUUGAGUGCAGUUGAGGCAGGCGGAAUUCGUGGUGUAGCGGUGAAAUGCUUAGAUAUCACGAAGAACUCCGAUUGCGAAGGCAGCCUGCUAAGCUGCAACUGACAUUGAGGCUCGAAAGUGUGGGUAUCAAACAGGAUUAGAUACCCUGGUAGUCCACACGGUAAACGAUGAAUACUCGCUGUUUGCGAUAUACGGCAAGCGGCCAAGCGAAAGCGUUAAGUAUUCCACCUGGGGAGUACGCCGGCAACGGUGAAACUCAAAGGAAUUGACGGGGGCCCGCACAAGCGGAGGAACAUGUGGUUUAAUUCGAUGAUACGCGAGGAACCUUACCCGGGCUUAAAUUGCAGAUGAAUUACGGUGAAAGCCGUAAGCCGCAAGGCAUCUGUGAAGGUGCUGCAUGGUUGUCGUCAGCUCGUGCCGUGAGGUGUCGGCUUAAGUGCCAUAACGAGCGCAACCCUUGUUGUCAGUUACUAACAGGUUCCGCUGAGGACUCUGACAAGACUGCCAUCGUAAGAUGUGAGGAAGGUGGGGAUGACGUCAAAUCAGCACGGCCCUUACGUCCGGGGCUACACACGUGUUACAAUGGGGGGUACAGAGGGCCGCUACCACGCGAGUGGAUGCCAAUCCCAAAAACCUCUCUCAGUUCGGACUGGAGUCUGCAACCCGACUCCACGAAGCUGGAUUCGCUAGUAAUCGCGCAUCAGCCACGGCGCGGUGAAUACGUUCCCGGGCCUUGUACACACCGCCCGUCAAGCCAUGGGAGCCGGGGGUACCUGAAGUGCGUAACCGCGAGGAGCGCCCUAGGGUAAAACUGGUGACUGG
rnacentral:rRNA from 1 species